GUGAAUCAUCGAAUCUUUGAACGCAAAUUGCGCUUCCUGGUAUCCCGGGAAGUAUGCCUGUUUGCCGGUCAGUAUUAACAAAAAAUCGUGUGUGUUGCCAAUUGUGACGUUUCCGGAGUUUGGUAUUAUCUUAACUUUUUUGUUUAAGGGGCUUAAAAUUGACCUUUUUUGCGCAUUUUUAUACGUUCAUAACUUUUUUUUUAUUCGUCUAUCGUUAAUGCCAAAUUCUUAUUACAUU
rnacentral:misc_RNA from 1 species